rnacentral:rRNA from 1 species
UACAGAGGUCUCAAGCGUUGUUCGGAUUCAUUGGGCGUAAAGGGCGCGUAGGCUGCGGGGUAAGUCGGGUGUGAAAUCUCAGGGCUCAACCCUGAAACUGCACUCGAUACUGCUCUGCUUGAGGACUGGAGAGGAGACUGGAAUUCACGGUGUAGCAGUGAAAUGCGUAGAUAUCGUAAGGAAGACCAGUGGCGAAGGCGGGUCUCUGGACAGUUCCUGACGCUGAGGCACGAAGGCCAGGGGAGCAAACGGG